AACGUAGGAGGCGAGCGUUAUCCGGAUUUACUGGGCGUAAAGCGCGUGCAGGCGGUUCGGCAAGUUGGAUGUGAAAGCUCCUGGCUCAACUAGGAGAGGUCGUUCAAUACUACCGAACUUGAGGGCAUCAGAGGAAAGUGGAAUUCCCGGUGUAGUGGUGAAAUGCGUAGAUAUCGGGAGGAACACCAGUGGCGAAAGCGACUUUCUGGGAUGCAUCUGACGCUCAGACGCGAAAGCUAGGGUAGCAAAC
rnacentral:rRNA from 1 species